rnacentral:rRNA from 1 species
GUUGCUUCGGCGGGAACAGACGGCCCCGUAACACGGGCCGCCCCCGCCAGAGGACCUUAACUCUGUUUCUUAUAAUGUUUCUUCUGAGUAAAACAAGCAAAUAAAUUAAAACUUUCAACAACGGAUCUCUUGGCUCUGGCAUCGAUGAAGAACGCAGCGAAAUGCGAUAAGUAAUGUGAAUUGCAGAAUUCAGUGAAUCAUCGAAUCUUUGAACGCACAUUGCGCCCGCCAGUAUUCUGGCGGGCAUGCCUGUUCGAGCGUCAUUACAACCCUCAGGCCCCCGGGCCUGGCGUUGGGGAAUCGGGGAACCCCCGGGGGCACACGCCGUCCCCCAAAUACAGGGGGGGUCCCCCCGCAGCUUCCAUUGCGUAGUAGCUAACCCCUCCCCACCUGAGAGCGGGGCGGCCACGCCGUAAAACCCCCCACUCUUCUGAAGUUGACCUCGAAUCAGGUAGGAAUACCCGCUGAACUUAAGCAUAUCCAUAAGCGGAGGAAAAGAAACCAACAGGGAUUGCCCUAGUAACGGCGAGUGAAGCGGCAACAGCUCAAAUUUGAAAUCUGGCUCUCGGGCCCGAGUUGUAAUUUGUAGAGGAUGCUUUUGGUGAGGUGCCUUCCGAGUUCCCUGGAACGGGACGCCACAGAGGGUGAGAGCCCCGUCUGGUUGGACACCGAUCCUCUGUAAAGCUCCUUCGACGAGUCGAGUAGUUUGGGAAUGCUGCUCUAAAUGGGAGGUAUAUGUCUUCUAAAGCUAAAUACCGGCCAGAGACCGAUAGCGCACAAGUAGAGUGAUCGAAAGAUGAAAAGAACUUUGAAAAGAGAGUUAAAAAGUACGUGAAAUUGUUGAAAGGGAAGCGCUUGUGACCAGACUUGGGCUUGGUUGAUCAUCCAGGGUUCUCCCUGGUGCACUCUUCCGGCCCAGGCCAGCAUCAGUUCGCCCCGGGGGAAAAAGGCUUCGGGAAUGUGGCUCUCUCCGGGGAGUGUUAUAGCCCGUUGCGUAAUACCCUGUGGCGAACUGAGGUUCGCGCAUUCGCAAGGAUG